rnacentral:rRNA from 1 species
UACAGAGGGUGCGAGCGUUAAUCGGAAUACUGGGCGUAAAGCGCACGUAGGUGGCUUGGCAAGUCGGGUGUGAAAUCCCCGGGCUCAACCUGGGAACUGCAUUCGAGACUGCCUUGCUCGAGUAUGGGAGAGGGAAGUGGAAUUUCCGGUGUAGCGGUGAAAUGCGUAGAUAUCGGGAGGAACACCAGUGGCGAAGGCGGUUACCUGGAGCUUUGCUGACGCUGAUGCGCGAAAGCGUGGGGAGCGAUCCGG